CCUACGGGUGGCAGCAGUCGAGAAUUUUUCUCAAUGGGCGAAAGCCUGAAGGAGCGACGCCGCGUGGGGGAUGAAGAGCUUCGGUUUGUAAACCCCUGUCAUUUGCGAACAAACCCUCCGGCAUAACACGUCGGAGGCUGAUAGUAGCAGAAGAGGAAGGGACGGCUAACUCUGUGCCAGCAGCCGCGGUAAUACAGAGGUCCCGAGCGUUGUUCGGAUUCACUGGGCGUAAAGGGUGCGUAGGCGGUGAGGCAAGUUUGAGGUGAAAUCUCCAGGCUUAACCUGGAAAAUGCCUUGAAGACUGCCCUGCUAGAGGAUCGGAGGGGAGGCUGGAAUUCUCGGUGUAGCAGUGAAAUGCGUAGAUAUCGAGAGGAACACCAGUGGCGAAGGCGAGUCUCUGGACGAUUCCUGACGCUGAGGCACGAAAGCCAGGGGAGCAAACGGGAUUAGAUACCCGUGUAGUC
rnacentral:rRNA from 1 species